UACGUAGGGUGCAAGCGUUGUCCGGAAUUAUUGGGCGUAAAGAGCUCGUAGGCGGUUUGUCGCGUCUGCUGUGAAAACCCGAGGCUCAACCUCGGGCCUGCAGUGGGUACGGGCAGACUAGAGUGCGGUAGGGGAGAUUGGAAUUCCUGGUGUAGCGGUGAAAUGCGCAGAUAUCAGGAAGAACACCGGUGGCGAAGGCGGCUCACUGGCUCAUUUCUGACGCUCAGGCGCGACAGCGUGGGGAUCAAACAGG
rnacentral:rRNA from 1 species